rnacentral:rRNA from 1 species
CCUACGGGGGGCUGCAGUGGGGAAUAUUGGACAAUGGGCGAAAGCCUGAUCCAGCCAUGCCGCGUGUGUGAAGAAGGCCUUCGGGUUGUAAAGCACUUUCAGUGGGGAAGAAAGCCUUGGGGCUAAUACCCUCGAGGAAGUACAUCACCCACAGAAGAAGCACCGGCUAACUCCGUGCCAGCAGCCGCGGUAAUACGGAGGGUGCGAGCGUUAAUCGGAAUUACUGGGCGUAAAGCGCGCGUAGGCGGUCUGAUAAGCCGGUUGUGAAAGCCCCGGGCUCAACCUGGGAACGGCAUCCGGAACUGUCAGGCUAGAGUGCAGGAGAGGAAGGUAGAAUUCCCGGUGUAGCGGUGAAAUGCGUAGAGAUCGGGAGGAAUACCAGUGGCGAAGGCGGCCUUCUGGACUGACACUGACGCUGAGGUGCGAAAGCGUGGGUAGCAAACAGGAUUAGAUACCCUAGUAGUC